rnacentral:rRNA from 1 species
UACGGAGGGUGCGAGCGUUGUCCGGAAUCACUGGGCGUAAAGGGCGCGUAGGUGGCGCGAGUAGUCAACGGUGAAAGCCCGGGGCUCAACCCCGGGGUCGGCCGUCGAUACUCUCGUGCUUGAGCACUGUAGAGGCAGGUGGAAUUCCGGGUGUAGCGGUGGAAUGCGUAGAGAUCCGGAAGAACACCGGUGGCGAAGGCGGCCUGCUGGGCAGUAGCUGACACUGAGGGCGCGACAGCGUGGGGGAGCAAACAGG